GUGUCAGCAGCCGCGGUAAUACGGAGGGGGCAAGCGUUAUUCGGAUUUACUGGGCGUAAAGGGUGCGUAGGCGGCCGCGCAAGUCUGACGUGAAAUCUUCACCGCUCAACGGGAAGAGGUCGUUGGAAACUGCGUGGCUCGAGUGUGGUAGAGGCAAGUGGAAUUCCAGGUGUAGCGGUGGAAUGUGUAGAUAUCUGGAAGAACACCCGUGGCGAAGGCGACUUGCUGGGCCAUCACUGACGCUGAGGCACGAAAGCGUGGGGAGCAAACGGGAUUAGAUACCCCGGUAGUCCACGCCGUAAACGGUGCACACUAGGUGUGGGAGGAGAUCGACCCCUCCUGUGCCGCAGUUAACACAUUAAGUGUGCCGCCUGGGGAGUACGGCCGCAAGGUUGAA
rnacentral:rRNA from 1 species